AAUGGCGUACUUGAAGAAGAGAUCUAUGUGGAGCAGCCACAAGGAUUCGUGUCUGAAGGCAAAGAAAACAAAGUGUUAAAACUAAGAAAAGCACUCUACGGUUUGAAGCAAGCACCUCGAGCAUGGUAUAGCAGAAUCGAUCAGUAUUUCAUGGAUCGAGGAUUCAGGAGGAGCAAGAGUGAGCCUACACUUUACAUCAAGUCUCAAGCUACACGGCCUGACAUAAUGUAUGCUACAAGUCUUCUAUCAAGAUUCAUGCAAAGCCCAAGUCAAAUACACUUUGGAGCAGGA